AUGGACCACGCGUGCACUCCGGUUCCUCCGCGCCGUCCACAUCCACCUGACGACUGCUCGCUACGUUUGUUAGCC
rnacentral:sRNA from 1 species